rnacentral:lncRNA from 1 species
UGCUUCGAUGGAAUUUUUUUAUUCAACAGUUGGGCUAUGCCAAAGUUGCUCUCUUUUCCCUUAUCUGUUCAUAUUAUAUGUUGAUACUUUGCCUCGAAUGUUGAGGACGGCGGUUUAGGGGUUGGAGCUGGAGCUGGAGCCCUACUGGCUUAUCCCUGGGAUCCAACCUCUCUGGCACCUCUUUUUUAUAGAUGAUUACCUUUUGAUUGGCCGGACCUCGAUCCAAAAUGUGAAGUGUUUUACUUCUAUCAUCGAGGCCUACUGUUGAACUUUAGGAUAGCUGGUGAAUUUGCAGAAGUCCACAGUCAUCUUUAGUCUCAAG